rnacentral:rRNA from 1 species
AGCGAACGCUGGCGGCAGGCCUAAUACAUGCAAGUCGAGCGCACCUUCGGGUGAGCGGCGGACGGGCGAGUAACGCGUGGGAACGUGCCCUUUGGUACGGGAUAACUGAGGGAAACUUCAGCUAAUACCGUAUGUGCCCUCCGGAGGAAAGAUUUAUCGCCAUUGGAGCGGCCCGCGUUGGAUUAGGUAGUUGGUGAGGUAAAGGCACACCAAGCCUACGAUCCAUAGCUGGUCUGAGAGGAUGAUCAGCCACACUGGGACUGAUACCCGGCCCAGACACCUACGGGAGGCAGCAGUAGGGAAUCUUGCGCAAUGGGCGAAAGCCUGACGCAGCCAUGCCGCGUGAAUGAUGAAGGUCUUAGGAUUGUAAAAUUCUUUCACCGGGGAAGAUAAUGACGGUACCCGGAGAAGAAGCCCCGGCUAACUUCGUGCCAGCCGCCGCGGUAAGAC